UACGAAGGUGGCAAGCGUUACUCGGAAUUACUAGGCGUAAAGGGCAGGUAGGUGGCCUGAUAAGUCUGUUGUGAAAGCUCCCGGCUUAACUGGGAGAGGUCAACAGAUACUAUCGGGCUGGAGUGUGGGAGAGGGUACUGGAAUUCCCGGUGUAGCGGUGAAAUGCGCAGAUAUCGGGAGGAACACCAAUGGCGAAAGCAGGUACCUGGACCAUUACUGACACUCAGCUGCGAAAGCUAGGGGAGCAAACAGG
rnacentral:rRNA from 1 species